GUAGAAGCCAAAAAAAAGUGAAAAACUGCUCGGUUUCUGAAAAGUAAUUAAAAUGUAAAAGGAAAGGUCUUUAUUUUUUUGGUAAUAUGGUCACAACUUUACCCUAGCUAUCUCUUCGAAUCAUCAGAAUCGACACUCCUAUAGUAUUUUUCCAGCGAAACUCAGCCCUAAUCUCAACACCUGUGUAUUUCCAUAGUAGCGGUGUCUUCUCGUUGUGCAUACGUAAUUGCUGCUUAUGUUAUUAGCUGCUCGAUUGGUGAAAACACAGAGAUUGAGGAACAAAGAAAGGACACUAAUAUGCGAGAAGGAACAAAAAACUGAAGAAAUGAAGGAAGGAAGGCUGGUGAUCACCAAGAGCAUUUGGUGAAUCAGGGGAUAGUUCCACCGCCUAAAGUUUCAGUAUGCCAUCCUUGAGGGAAGAAACCAAAUUUAUGACUCGAAGGAGCGGUCGGCGCAUUACCGAGUAGCUCUGCGAUUCAAUGAUAGAUCACAUAAAGUACAGAACCCAAGGAAGCAGAAUGACAUGGUGAAGAGGAAAUAAAGAGAGCAAAGAGCAGCUUGCCGAGUGGUUCGGCGAGUCUGACUUAUUAAGCUAAAUAGGCUUUCAUAGCUUAUUUUCGACGACUAUAAAUAUGUUUUUUGACAUUUAGUUUAGAAUCUUUUUGACAUAUGAGGUGUAGUUUUAUCAAUCUUUUACAUU